ensembl:snRNA U6 U6 spliceosomal RNA
GUGCCAGCAGCACACAUACUAAAAUUGGAAUGAUACAGAGAAGAUUACCAUGGCCCCUGCACAAAGAUGACAUGCAAAUGCAUGAAGCAUCCUAUAUGUAU